rnacentral:tRNA from 1 species
GGUAGAAUGGCUGAGUGUUUAGCGGUGGCUUGUAGUCCCAUAUACAGAGGUUAGAUUCCUCUUUCUGCCA